ensembl:lncRNA
GCGCCUCUCUGUGCUUUUUCGCACCAGCCACUUUGAAUCCAAUCAUGCAGGACGAGUGUCUAUUUGCUGCCGCAGAUUCUAAUUAGAGCCAAUCAUGAGAGUCCUUGAGCUCUGACAUCACGACAGAUGACACACCCCCAUCCCAUCCCAUGCGGGCGUGCGAACUCAGCCUUCAUCUCCAAAUGAAUGAUGGCACUGAUGCGCGUGGAUGAAAGGACAGACAGGAGGCGUUACUGAAGCACAUAUCCAGCAUGACAGUAGGGCACAGAGAACUGUAAAAGCAAGUCCUGAGGUAAUGCCUCAAUUGUGCCAGUUCCAAUCAGACCAACCCGCGCUGGUGAAGUAAUCCUUCAGACCACUUCCUCCAAGCUCGGCUACAUCUGAAGCUGCUCGUCAAGUUUGGAAAGAAACGUAAGCGCAAGAUGUUAAGCCACUUCACCAAUAUCCUGCCUGACACUCCACAGGACUUUAUUCCCUUGGAUUUACUAAGCGAGGGUGGGGGGGGACACGCAAGGUGGCUGCAGAUUGCAUUCAUGGGUGGAUUUGGAAAAAAAUAAAAUAAAAUAAAUAAAUACA